rnacentral:rRNA from 1 species
AUAGCGUAUAUUAAAGUUGUUGCAGUUAAAAAGCUCGUAGUUGAACUUCAGACCUGGCUGGAUGGUCUGCCUAACGGUAUGUACUGUCCGGCUGGGCCUUACCUCUUGGUGAGCCGGCAUGCCCUUCACUGGGUGUGUCGGGGAACCAGGACUUUUACCUUGAGAAAAUUAGAGUGUUCAAAGCAGGCCUAUGCCCGAAUACAUUAGCAUGGCAUAAUAAAAUAGGACGUGUGGUUCUAUUUUGUUGGUUUCUAGAGCCGCAGUAAUGAUUAAUAGGGAUAGUUGGGGGCAUUAGUAUUGCGUUGCUAGAGGUGAAAUUCUUGGAUUUACGCAAGACUAACUUCUG